rnacentral:rRNA from 1 species
AUACGGAGGGGGCUAGCGUUGCUCGGAAUUACUGGGCGUAAAGGGCGUGUAGGCGGGACAUCAAGUUAGGCGUGAAAGCCCCGGGCUCAACCCGGGAACUGCCUUUGAUACUGCAAGUCUUGAGUCCGAGAGAGGUUAGUGGAAUUCCUAGUGUAGAGGUGAAAUUCGUAGAUAUUAGGAAGAACACCAGUGGCGAAGGCGGCUAACUGGCUCGGUACUGACGCUGAGGUGCGAAAGCGUGGGGAGCAAACAGGAUUAGAAACCCCAGUAGUCC